AGGAGACAGCAGCAAGGCCAUUUACGCAGCUUAGCAGAAGCAAAGGGCUUGGCGGAGGGUUUUCCCUCUGUAGAGAUUUGGGCAGGAAGAGAGCAGUGGACACUCCCUUUCCUGACAGGGUUUGCUGUGUGCUGCUUUCGCUGAUUAAGGUCCACACUCAUGGCAUAUGGAGGUUCCCAGGCUAGGGAACCAACUGAAGAAUAAAACACUAUGUAUUCAAACAUGUGAGUUUCCACAUCAGUAAAAUGGGAGGAAGACAAACAGGAUCCAACUCCUCAGGAUCCAGCUGAGCCAACUCCUCAGCUGACUGGCAGAUAAAAGUUCCUGGGCAGGGACUGAACCAUACCCCAGGAGCAACCCGAGCCACAGCAGCGACAGUGCUGGAUCAUCAACCUGCUGAGCUACCAGGGAACUCCUGGAGAUGGCAAGUGAGUUGUUGCAUGAUUCUUGGAGGUGUUAUCACCUACCCACCUAGGAUGAGUUAGCCAAAGGUAAGUCAUUUUUGUGACCUCUGCUUGAGGGGUCACCAAAAGCAAGGAAAGGGUAGGGAAAUAGUGGGAUGUGUGUGCACAUGCGUGGCUGUGUGUCAGUGGAUGCUGGUGCAGAAAACAAGGGGCCGUGUGGCAGGGGCCAGAUCAGGAAGGGGUUUGUGAAUUAGGCUGGAUUCUGAGCAUUACGCUAAAGAGAACACCAAAGGCUGUAAGCAGGGGACUGAAACUAUGAGAUUCUGUUACAGCACUUUGGUAGCAGGCUGGAACGUGGAAGGGGGCUAAGGAUGGGUAUCUAGUUAGAUACUUGUUGUAUUGUUUCAGGAAAAGAUUUAUGUGCCUGAAAAGGGAGCUGGAGAGAAGUGAGAAUAUAAUAUUAUUUAGUAGGUGAAUCGCCAGGAAGCCAUGUGUGGGAUGAUGGAGACGGCAAUCCCACUUGGGUGGUUGGCUCAACCCCUAAGCGAGGUAAGACAAUCAGAAGGAACAGGAUGAGUUUGGACUUGUUGCAUCUGA
rnacentral:lncRNA from 1 species